UGGGAUGAAUAGAGACCGUGGGUCAUCCGAUAAUUGUAACAUGAACUUUUUUUGGCUGCAUAACAUUAUAACUUGACUGCAGGAAUUUUUCAUAUGUGCUACAUGACAUUGAAUUUUUGGUUAGGAUAGUUAAGCAAUAUCUAUUUAAAUGGUCUGUUGCAGAUAUUCUUUGGAUGAUCACUGUCAUUUUCUUGUCUUCCUGAUCCGUCUUCUUAUGUGCAGUAAUUUAGAAAUGCUUUUUGCUCUGCAUGCAAUUGAUGCUCUUGAGAGCGUUUCCUAUUUUAUGGUUUCACCAGUACUGCUUGAAUAUUGAUUUCCUUCUCUUCUCCAGUAGUUGAUCUGUUGGAGCAAUCUGCUUCUUGUCUUUUUCAGUUCAUGAUGGCUCUGGAGUUUCAUGCAUCCGUAUGAUCUCUAGUCAUGGUGGAGGAUUGUCUAUGUUCUGCUUCGCAGGCAGCUUGGCUCUUGUGGUACACAUCCAUGAUAUUUUUUUUCGGAUGUCAACUAGUAGUUUCAAAGAUCUC
rnacentral:lncRNA from 1 species